rnacentral:rRNA from 1 species
ACCUACGGGGCGCAGCAGUGAGGAAUAUUGGUCAAUGGUCGGGAGACUGAACCAGCCAAGCCGCGUGAGGGAUGAAGGUACAGAGUAUCGUAAACCUCUUUUGUCAGGGAACAAAGGCGGGGACGCGUCCCCGGAUGAGUGUACCUGAAGAAAAAGCAUCGGCUAACUCCGUGCCAGCAGCCGCGGUAAUACGGAGGAUGCGAGCGUUAUCCGGAUUUAUUGGGUUUAAAGGGUGCGCAGGCGGCGAGUUAAGUCAGCGGUAAAAUUUCGGGGCUCAACCCCGCCGAGCCGUUGAAACUGGCCUG